rnacentral:rRNA from 1 species
AGUGAACGCUGGCGGUAGGCCUAACACAUGCAAGUCGAACGGCAGCACAGUAAGAGCUUGCUCUUACGGGUGGCGAGUGGCGGACGGGUGAGGAAUACAUCGGAAUCUACUUUUUCGUGGGGGAUAACGUAGGGAAACUUACGCUAAUACCGCAUACGACCUACGGGUGAAAGCAGGGGAUCUUCGGACCUUGCGCGAUUGAAUGAGCCGAUGUCGGAUUAGCUAGUUGGCGGGGUAAAGGCCCACCAAGGCGACGAUCCGUAGCUGGUCUGAGAGGAUGAUCAGCCACACUGGAACUGAGACACGGUCCAGACUCCUACGGGAGGCAGCAGUGGGGAAUAUUAGACAAUGGGCGCAAACCUGAUCCAGCCAUACCGCGUGGGUGAAGAAGGCCUUCGGGUUGUAAAGCCCUUUUGUUGGGAAAGAAAAGCAGCAGGUUAAUACCCCGCUGUUCUGACGGUACCCAAAGAAUAAGCACCGGCUAACUUCGUG